UUGGAGGGCAAGUCUGGUGCCAGCAGCCGCGGUAAUUCCGGCUCCAAUAGCGUAUACUAAAGUUGCUGCAGUUAAAAAGCUCGUAGUUGAAUUUCGGGACCAAUAUGUCGGUCGUGCCUCGGUACGUACUGGCAUCGCUGGUUUCUCCCUUCUGACGAACCAUGAUGUCAUUCAUUUGGUGUCGUGGGGAAUCAGGACUGUUACUUUGAAAAAAUUAGAGUGUUUAAAGCAGGCUCACGCUUGAAUACAUUAGCAUGGAAUAAUGAAAUAGGACGUUUGAUUCUAUUUUGUUGGUUUCUAGGAUCGACGUAAUGAUUAAUAGGGAUAGUUGAGGGCAUUAGUAUUCAAUUGUCAGAGGUGAAAUUCUUGGAUUUAUUGAAGACUAACUACUGCGAAAGCAUUUGCCAAGGAUGUUUUCAUUAAUCAAGAACGAAAGUUAGGGGAUCGAAGACGAUCAGAUACCGUCGUAGUCUUAACCAUAAACUAUGCCGACUAGGGAUCGGAUGAUGUUAAUUUUUUAAUGACUCAUUCGGCACCUUACGGGAAAC
rnacentral:rRNA from 1 species